GUGAGGAAUUUUCCGCAAUGGGCGAAAGCCUGACGGAGCAAUGCCGCGUGAAGGAUGAAGGCCUAUGGGUUGUAAACUUCUUUUCUCAGAAAAGAAUUAUGACGGUAUCUGAGGAAUAAGCAUCGGCUAACUCUGUGCCAGCAGCCGCGGUAAGACAGAGGAUGCAAGCGUUAUCCGGAAUGAUUGGGUGUAAAGCGUCUGUAGGUUGUUUAAAAAGUAUUCUGUCAAAGAUUAGGGCUUAACCCUAGAUAGGCAGAAUAAACUUUUAAGCUAGAGUUUGGUAGAGGCAGAGGGAAUUCCCGGUGGAGCGGUGAAAUGCGUAGAUAUCGGGAGGAACACCAAAGGCGAAGGCACUCUGCUGGGCCAAUACUAACACUGAGAGACGAAAGCGAGGGGAGCAAAUGGGAUUAGAAACCCGGGUAGUCC
rnacentral:rRNA from 1 species